rnacentral:lncRNA from 1 species
AAAAAUGUAGUAUUUGUUGAUGCGUUCCCAUCGCGGAAACAAUCUUGGUGUAUGGCUAUGAGACGUGAUGUGGAUCAUUCGAGGAGUCCUAGGGACACUCGACGGACAACCGGACUUAUACUGUUUUAAGUGCGUUUUGGAUAAUUGCUGUAUCGGCAGCGAUUAGGCGCAUUUAAACCAGUUUAAGUUGGACGGUUCCACCACAGUGCCCCCCUUUU